rnacentral:rRNA from 1 species
GUGGGGAAUAUUGGACAAUGGGCGCAAGCCUGAUCCAGCCAUGCCGCGUGAGUGAUGAAGGCCUUCGGGUCGUAAAGCUCUGUUGCAGGGGAAGAACACAAUGACGGUACCCUGCUAGAAAGGAUCGGCUAACUUCGUGCCAGCAGCCGCGGUAAGACGAGGGAUCCUAGCGUUGUUCGGAAUUAUUGGGCGUAAAGCGGGUGCAGGUGGCUUGGUAAGUCAGAUGUGAAAGCCUGGGGCUUAACCCCAGAAGUGCAUUUGAUACUGCGAAGCUUGAGUGCUGGAGAGGCUACUAGAAUUCUUGGUGUAGUGGUGAAAUACGUAGAUAUCAAGAGGAAUACCGGAGGCGAAGGCGGGUAGCUGGCCAGACACUGACACUCAGACCCGAAAGCGUGGGGAUCAAACAGGAUUAGAUACCCCGGUAGUCC